UAAUGAGAGAGGCAACUACCUAUGGGUGGUUCUUUGAAGUGGAGAUGGGCUCCCAUAGAGCUAUCUGGCUCCAAUUUAAUAAAACAUCCAAGAGAAAGCUCUAUGCAUAGAGCUCUCACAGAAGACCUCUUACCUAAACUUCAUACAGCUUCUCCCACCUUCUCCAUAUGUGACCUACAUUUCUUGGUAACUUCUAGAUACUCUGACUCUACGUUCCCUCACAAAAGAUGGAUGUGAUGAGGGUGACCAGCAGUAAAUUUAGAGCUCAAACUCCAGGCCCAUCUCUUGCAAGGAUCCUUUCUUCCCACCUCUACUCCCUGCCCUGUUCUCAGUUUAAAUACAUAUAUUUGUAUUUAAAAAGGAGUGGUGAAGCCUUUAGUAGUUAAUUGGACUUAUGAAGACAUACGAUUAUAUGUUUAACAAAUUUAAUGAGGUAGACAUACUGGCUAAAUGUUUUACAAAUAAUAUUUCUAUUUUCAGCUACUAAAAGCACUGGCAGACAUCAUGGCAAGAAUGAACUGAAAGCACAAGAAAAACGUAAGUGAGAAAACACUAGGAAGAAUGUACUGCAGAGAAAGGGGGCCAUGGUGAAGCGCACUGUGUAUGGAUGGCAGCCACCUUCCUCACGUCCACCUGUGGGACUUCUAGGUCUCAACUCUUGUCACUUGAUCAUAUUUCUGGCAGACUAAUAAAGCCUACACAUUGCUAAAUAUGUGAGGCCAUUUUGAGAACACAGUUUUAUUAUGCAGCCUUAUAGACUGUAGUCAUACUAUGGUAAAGAAAAUAAAAAUUAGAUGUGAAAACAUUGACUUUGUUCAAUAUUUUUGAAAAAAGUAUGUUUUUUCAAAAGUACUUGUUCUACAAAUGCAUUUAUAUUUAUUUAUAUUGUUAACCUUCAUCCAAAAACAUACUUAAAGUGACUUCUUUUGGAGUUACCUGUAUUACCCUGCUUGGUUAAAAUGGAGCUUCUUGAUAAGUGAGAACCAAUCCCCAAAUGCAGGUCCUUCAGCCUAGCAGGGGAAAUAAAUACACAAAUACUCAACAGAAACAGAAAAUCCAAGAGUCAGUAGAAUAGUAAGUACAGUGCUGUUGGGGUGCAAAGUAAGAACAGAUCUUAUUUGUUUGAGGAGGUUAGUAAAUUGGAGUAGCUUAUAUUCCAAAAAAAAAUCUUAAAUGAAUCAGAUCUAAAGAGAUUAGAGAAUGCUAGUCUAGACAGAGGAAACAGCAUGGGAAAAAGUACACAAAUGGAUCCACAUGAGACAUGUUCAGGGAGAUUAGAGAGCACAGUUGGGGGGAGUUUAAAUAUACAGCAGGCUGUUAAGUGUGGACACUAUUUGAUAAGCAAUAGAGAAAAGGUGAAGCUUCUUGACCAGAGGAGAUCUGAUCAUAACUUCCCUUUAUAAAAAUAUUAAUUCUGCAGUGUUGCAUAAACACUGCUGCGUGUUUGGGUGACAGAUUGUAAGGGUUUGACUAAGGUAGUGAUAAUGGGCAUGAAAACGAAAGGCUGGGUAUGAGAAUAAUGCAGAUGUCAACUCCACAGAAUUUAGGAAUUUCACAAAUGUGAGAAUCUAGGAGAAAAGAGUAGAGGAAAUAAUACUGAAUAAUAGGGAAGAUUGAGGAUUGAAGCACCAGACAUGAAUGUGCCUUGUAAACUAUAAACAGUGGUACUACCAGGGAAAGACAGCUAGAAGGAAGUUAUGUGCUAAAAAGGAAAGAAGUUAUAUGCUGAAAAAUUGUGAGAGCUUUCACAGGGGUAAGAGAAAUUCAAAUUCUGACCAACCAGAAGAGAGGCCUUAAUAAAUACCUAAGGCACUAAACAGAGAUCCCCGCCAAAAG
ensembl:lncRNA